UAACUCAGUGGUAGAGUGCUUGCCAAGCAUGCAUGAGACCCUGGGUUCAAUCCCCAG
rnacentral:tRNA from 1 species